rnacentral:rRNA from 1 species
CCUACGGGUGGCAGCAGUGGGGAAUAUUGCACAAUGGGGGAAACCCUGAUGCAGCAACGCCGCGUGAGGGAAGACGGUUCUCUGGUUGGAAAACUAUUGUCUUCGUGAAGGAAAAUGACGGUAGCUGAGGAGCAAGCCACGGCUAACUACGUGCCAGCAGCCGCGGUAAUACGUAGGUGGCGAGCGUUGUCCGGAAUUACUGGGUGUAAAGGGAGCGCAGGCGGGAAGCCAAGUCAGCUGUGAAAACUACGGGCUUAACUUGUAGACCGCAGUUGAAACUGGUUUUCUUGAGUGAAGUAGAGGUAGGCGGAAUUCCGAGUGUAGCGGUGAAAUGCGUAGAUAUUAGGAGGAACACCGGUGGCGAAGGCGGCUAACUGGGCUGUAACUGACGCUGAGGCUCGAAAGUGUGGGGAGCAAACAGGAUUAGAUACCCUUGUAGUC